UGGGGAAUUUUGGACAAUGGGCGCAAGCCUGAUCCAGCCAUGCCGCGUGCGGGAAGAAGGCCUUCGGGUUGUAAACCGCUUUUGUCAGGGAAGAAAUCUUCUGAGUUAAUACCUCGGGAGGAUGACGGUACCUGAAGAAUAAGCACCGGCUAACUACGUGCCAGCAGCCGCGGUAAUACGUAGGGUGCAAGCGUUAAUCGGAAUUACUGGGCGUAAAGCGUGCGCAGGCGGUUUUGUAAGACAGAGGUGAAAUCCCCGGGCUCAACCUGGGAACUGCCUUUGUGACUGCAAGGCUUGAGUGCGGCAGAGGGGGGAUGGAAUUCCGCGUGUAGCAGUGAAAUGCGUAGAUAUGCGGAGGAACGCCGAUGGCGAAGGCAAUCCCCUGGGCCUGCACUGACGCUCAUGCACGAAAGCGUGGGGAGCAAACAGGAUUAGAUAGCCCUGGUAGUCCACGCCCUAAAACGAUGUCAACUGGUUGUUGGGAAGGUUCCUUCUCAGUAACGUAGCUAACGCGUGAAGUUGACCGCCUGGGGAGUACGGCCGC
rnacentral:rRNA from 1 species